rnacentral:rRNA from 1 species
AACGAACGCUAGCGGUGCGUUUUAAGCAUGCAAGUCGAACGGUAACAGGACUAGCUUGCUAGUUGCUGACAAGCGGCGGACGGGUGCGUAACACGUAGGAAUCUACCCAGUAGCGGGGGAUAGCCCGGAGAAAUCCGGAUUAAUACCGCAUACGCCCUACGGGGGAAAGCAGGGGAUCUUCGGACCUUGCACUAUUGGAUGAGCCUGCGUCGGAUUAGCUUGUUGGUGAGGUAAAGGCUCACCAAGGCGACGAUCCGUAGCUGGUCUGAGAGGAUGAUCAGCCACACUGGGACUGAGACACGGCCCAGACUCCUACGGGAGGCAGCA